rnacentral:rRNA from 1 species
UUGACCUACGGGGGGCAGCAGUGAGGAAUAUUGGUCAAUGGGCGCGAGCCUGAACCAGCCAAGUCGCGUGAGGGAAGACGGUCCUAUGGAUUGUAAACCUCUUUUGUCGGGGAGCAAAAGACGCCACGCGUGGCGUUCCGAGAGUACCCGAAGAAAAAGCAUCGGCUAACUCCGUGCCAGCAGCCGCGGUAAUACGGAAGGUCCGGGCGUUAUCCGGAUUUAUUGGGUUUAAAGGGAGCGUAGGCCGGCUUUUAAGUCAGCUGUGAAAGUCCGCGGCUCAACCGUGGAAUUGCAGUUGAAACUGG